UACGUAGGGUGCAAGCGUUAAUCGGAAUUACUGGGCGUAAAAGCGUGCGCAGGCGGUUUUUGUAAGUUUUGUCGUGAAAUCCCCCGGGCUCAACCUGGGAAUGGCGAUGAAGACUGCAAGGCUAGAAUCUGGCAGAGGGGGGGGUAGAAUUCCACGUGUAGCAGUGAAAUGCGUAGAGAUGUGGAGGAACACCGAUGGCGAAAGGCAGCCCCCCUGGGUCAACACUG
rnacentral:rRNA from 1 species